rnacentral:rRNA from 1 species
UGCCAGACUCCUACGGGAGGCAGCAGUGGGGGAUAUUGCACAAUGGGGGGAACCCUGAUGCAGCGACGCCGCGUGAGUGAAGAAGUAUUUCGGUAUGUAAAGCUCUCUCAGCAGGGAAGAAAAUGACGGUACCUGACUAAGAAGCCCCGGCUAACUACGUGCCAGCAGCCGCGGUAAUACGUAGGGGGCAAGCGUUAUCCGGAUUUACUGGGUGUAAAGGGAGCGUAGACGGCAGUGCAAGUCUGAAGUGAAAGCCCCGGGCUUAACCCGGGAACUGCUUUGGAAACUGUACGGCUGGAGUGCUGGAGAGGUAAGCGGAAUUCCUAGUGUAGCGGUGAAAUGCGUAGAUAUUAGGAGGAACACCAGUGGCGAAGGCGGCUUACUGGACAGUAACUGACGUUGAGGCUCGAAAGCGUGGGGAGCAAACAGGAUUAGAUACCCCAGUAU